rnacentral:rRNA from 1 species
GAGCUUGCUCCUGGAUUCAGCGGCGGACGGGUGAGUAAUGCCUAGGAAUCUGCCUGGUAGUGGGGGAUAACGUCCGGAAACGGGCGCUAAUACCGCAUACGUUCUGAGGGAGAAAGUGGGGGAUCUUCGGACCUCACGCUAUCAGAUGAGCCUAGGUCGGAUUAGCUAGUUGGUGGGGUAAAGGCCUACCAAGGCGACGAUCCGUAACUGGUCUGAGAGGAUGAUCAGUCACACUGGAACUGAGACACGGUCCAGACUCCUACGGGAGGCAGCAGUGGGGAAUAUUGGACAAUGGGCGAAAGCCUGAUCCAGCCAUGCCGCGUGUGUGAAGAAGGUCUUCGGAUUGUAAAGCACUUUAAGUUGGGAGGAAGGGCAGUAAGUUAAUACCUUGCUGUUUUGACGUUACCAACAGAAUAAGCACCGGCUAACUUCGU